AUCAGCUCCUCACGAAUGCUAGUUCGUGAUUUCAUCCUUUUGAUGGCAGAUGUUGAUCGAACUCCUUCAAUCGAUGUGUGCUGACUUCUCAGAUGCUCUGGAUCAUCUGCACAGUUGCUUGAGAGGCUGAUGGAUCUCUCCAUAAAAUUUGGUGGACUCACGACACUCGUGGCACACCAAUCUCACUUCCCGAACCCUAGGUAGAAACCCUAGGGUACACACCAAAAACCCAGCGCC
rnacentral:lncRNA from 1 species